GACGAACGCUGGCGGCGUGCUUAACACAUGCAAGUCGAACGGAAAGGCCCUGCUUUUGUGGGGUGCUCGAGUGGCGAACGGGUGAGUAACACGUGAGUAACCUGCCCUUGACUUUGGGAUAACUUCAGGAAACUGGGGCUAAUACCGGAUAGGAGCUCCUGCUGCAUGGUGGGGGUUGGAAAGUUUCGGCGGGUGGGGAUGGACUUGCGGCUUAUCAGCUUGUUGGUGGGGUAGUGGCUUACCAAGGCUUUGACGGGUAGCCGGCCUGAGAGGGUGACCGGCCACAUUGGGACUGAGAUACGGCCCAGACUCCUACGGGAGGCAGCAGUGGGGAAUAUUGCACAAUGGGCGGAAGCCUGAUGCAGCAACGCCGCGUGCGGGAUGACGGCCUUCGGGUUGUAAACCGCUUUCGCCUGUGACGAAGCGUGAGUGACGGUAAUGGGUAAAGAAGCACCGGCUAACUACGUG
rnacentral:rRNA from 1 species